CAUGGUGCUGGUGGGUUAGGGGCCAGGUCUGUAACUAGUGUCUGUCUGUCUCCAGGUCCAGGAGGAGAAGAGGGGGAACAUGGUGCUGGUGGGUUAGGGGCCAGGUCUGUAACUAGUGUCUGUCUCCAGGUCCAGGAGGAGAAGAGGGGGAACAUGGUGCUGGUGGGUUAGGGGCCAGGUCUGUAACUAGUGUCUGUCUGUCUCCAGGUCCAGGAGGAGAAGAGGGGGAACAUGGUGCUGGUGGGUUAGGGGCCAGGUCUGUAACUAGUGUCUGUCUCCAGGUCCAGGAGGAGAAGAGGGGGAACAUGGUGCUGGUGGGUUAGGGGCCAGGUCUGUAACUAGUGUCUGUCUGUCUCCAGGUCCAGGAGGAGAAGAGGGGGAACAUGGUGCUGGUGGGUUAGGGGCCAGGUCUGUAACUAGUGUCUGUCUCCAGGUCCAGGAGGAGAAGAGGGGGAACAUGGUGCUGGUGGGUUAG